AUUGAACGCUGGCGGCAGGCCUAACACAUGCAAGUCGAACGAGUGGCGGACGGGUGAGUAAUGUCUGGGAAUCUGCCCGAUGGAGGGGGAUAACUACUGGAAACGGUAGCUAAUACCGCAUACUAUCAGAUGUGCCCAGAUGGGAUUAGCUGGUUGGUGGGGUAAAGGCUCACCAAGUCGACGAUCCCUAGCUGGUCUGAGAUGAUGACCAGCCACACUGGAACUGAGACACGGUCCAGCCUCCUACGGGAGGCAGCAGUGGGGAAUAUGGCACAAUGGGCUCAAGCCUGAUGCAGCCAUGCCGCGUGUAUGAAGAAGGCCGUCGGGUUGUAAAGUACGUUCAGCGGGGAGGCGUUACCCGCAGAAGAAGCACCGGCUAACUCCGUGCCAGCAGCCGCGGUAAUAC
rnacentral:rRNA from 1 species